GACGAACGCUGGCGGCGUGCUUAACACAUGCAAGUCGAACGGAAAGGCCCUGCUUUUGUGGGGUGCUCGAGUGGCGAACGGGUGAGUAACACGUGAGUAACCUGCCCUUGACUUUGGGAUAACUUCAGGAAACUGGGGCUAAUACCGGAUAGGAGCUCCUGCUGCAUGGUGGGGGUUGGAAAGUUUCGGCGGUUGGGGAUGGACUCGCGGCCUAUCAGCUUGUUGGUGGGGUGAUGGCCUACCAAGGCGGUGACGGGUAGCCGGCCUGAGAGGGUGGACGGUCACACUGGGACUGAGACACGGCCCAGACUCCUACGGGAGGCAGCAGUGGGGAAUAUUGCACAAUGGGCGCAAGCCUGAUGCAGCGACGCCGCGUGAGGGAUGGAGGCCUUCGGGUUGUGAACCUCUUUCGCCAGUGAAGCAGGCCUGCCUCGUUUGUGGGUGGGUUGACGGUAGCUGGAGAAGAAGCGCCGGCUAACUACGUG
rnacentral:rRNA from 1 species